AGUGAACGCUGGCGGUAGGCCUAACACAUGCAAGUCGAACGGCAGCACAGUAAGAGCUUGCUCUUACGGGUGGCGAGUGGCGGACGGGUGAGGAAUACAUCGGAAUCUACUUUUUCGUGGGGGAUAACGUAGGGAAACUUACGCUAAUACCGCAUACGACCUACGGGUGAAAGCAGGGGAUCUUCGGACCUUGUGCGAUUGAAUGAGCCGAUGUCGGAGUAGCUAGUUGGCGGGGUAAAGGCCCACCAAGGCGACGAUCCGUAGCUCGUCUGAGAGGAUGAUCAGCCACACUGGAACGUAGACACGGUCCAGACUCCUACGGGAGGCAGCAGUGGGGAAUAUUGGACAAUGGGCGCAAGCCUGAUCCAGCCAUACCGCGUGGGUGAAGAAGACCUUCGGGUUGGAAAGCCCGUUUGUUGGGAAAGAAAAGCAGCAGGUUAAUACCCCGCUGUUCUGACGGUACCCAAAGAAUAAGCACCGGCUAACUUCGUG
rnacentral:rRNA from 1 species